rnacentral:rRNA from 1 species
GACGAACCGUGCGAACGUUGUUCGGAAUCACUGGGCUUAAAGGGCGCGUAGGCGGGUUGUCAAGUCGGGGGUGAAAUCGUUCGGCCCAACCGGACAAGGGCCCCCGAUACUGACAGUCUCGAGGGAGGUAGGGGUUGGUGGAACUUCCGGUGGAGCGGUGAAAUGCGUAGAUAUCGGAAGGAACGCCGGUGGCGAAAGCGGCCAACUGGACCUCUUCUGACGCUGAGGCGCGAAAGCUAGGGGAGCGAACGGG